GCCUGCUCCGUCUGCAGCCUGGUGAUACGCUGCUGCAUCAGAUUGCCGCACUUCAUGUCGAGGGAGAAACGAUGCCGUGAGAAGAUAGAAACUAUAGAAGACUAUAUACACUUACGUGCGUGAUCAGAUCUAUGAAGUGCACUCCGUGUCGAUUGAGAGCGAGAAUGUGGUCGGCGCCCUUUUCCUUGCCCUCGGGCACCCUCUUCACCGCGAAGAAACUCGAGCCGAAAAGCGGCCACUUGGACAAUAUUUCUGAAGAAAGAGAGAAAACGCAUGCGUGUACUGCAUUUAAUCCAUUCCGUCCGAAGACAAUUAAUUUUUGUCAUUUUGCCAAGCAACAAUUUGUGUAAACUGUUAUUGUUUGAGUUCUCGCUUGUAUAUUAGAGAUAUUAAAGCAAAUGUUUGGGAGGUGGAAA